CGACGUUCUCAGGGCGGGGCGAAAUUCCCCACCGGCGGUGAUGGCGCAAGCCCAGCCCGCGAGCGCUCGCCGCCUGAUCGGCGAGGUCAGCAGAUCCGGUGCGAUUCCGGAGCCGACGGUCAUAGUCCGGAUGAGAGAGAGCGGGA
rnacentral:ncRNA from 2 species